rnacentral:rRNA from 1 species
GCCUACGGGAGGCAGCAGUAGGGAAUCUUCCACAAUGGGCGAAAGCCUGAUGGAGCAACGCCGCGUGGGUGAAGAAGGUCUUCGGAUCGUAAAACCCUGUUGUUAGAGAAGAAAGUGCGUGAGAGUAACUGUUCACGUUUCGACGGUAUCUAACCAGAAAGCCACGGCUAACUACGUGCCAGCAGCCGCGGUAAUACGUAGGAGGCAAGCGUUAUCCGGAUUUAUUGGGCGUAAAGGGAACGCAGGCGGCCUUUUAAGUCUGAAGGGAAAGCCUUCGGCCUAACCGGAGUAGGGCAUUGGAAAAU